rnacentral:rRNA from 1 species
CAGUUAUGGUUCAUUAGGACAUGUUAUCGUACUUGGAUAACUGUGGUAAUUCUAGAGCUAAUACAUGCCUCUACGCUGGGUCCCAAUGGGAAGCUGGCGUGCUUUUAUUAGAACGAAGCCCCGCCGAAUGCAGGAAUGUACUUCGGUAGUCUCUACGGUGCUGACUCUGGAUAACAAUGCCGAGCGCUUAGGCUUAAAGCCGGUGCUAGUCCUUUCAAGUGUCUGCUCUAUCAACUUUCGAUGGUAGGUUAUGUGCCUACCAUGGUUGUAACGGGUAACGGAGAAUCAGGGUUCGAUUCCGGAGAGGGAGCCUGAGAAACGGCUACCACAUCCAAGGAAGGCAGCAGGCGCGUAAAUUACCCAAUCCCGGAACGGGGAGGUAGUGACGAAAAAUAACAAUACGGGACUCAAUUGAGGCUCCGUAAUUGGAAUGAGUACACUCUAAAUCCUUUAACAAAGGUCUAUUGGAGGGCAAGUCUAGUGCCAGCAGCCGCGGUAAUUCUAGCUCCAAAAGCGUAUAUUAAAGUUGUUGCGGUUAAAAAGCUCGUAGUUGGAAAACUCGCUCUGGAUUGCAUUAGUAGGUACGCCUACGCCGCUUUCUGGUCGCGAACGGAGGUGGCUGUUCGUUGUGCUCUUAAUCGAGUCGCUUCGAGUGGCCAUCAUAUAUCACUUUGAUUAAAUUAGAGUGCUCAAAGCAGGCCCUUGUGCCUUUAUAUCAGUGCACGGAAUGAUGGAAUACGUUGCGGUUCUGUUUGUUUGGUUUUUUGGACUACAAGAUGAUCUAGAGGAACAGCCGGGGGCAUUCGUAUUGCGACGAGAGAGGUGAAAUUCUUGGACCGUCGCAGGACGAACUACNNNNNNNNNNUUUGCCCAGAAGUUUCAUUGAUCAAGAACGAAAGUUAGAGGUUCGAAGGCGAUCAGAUACCGCUUUAGUUCUAACAGUAAACGAUGCCAACUAGCAAUCCGCCUGAGUUCCUAUAAUGACUCGGCGGGCGACUUCGGGAAACCAAAGUUCGGUUCCGGGGGAAGUAUGGUUGCAAAGCUGAAACUUAAAGGAAUUGACGGAAGGGCACCACCAGGAGUGGAGCCUGCGGCUUAAUUUGACUCAACACGGGGAAACUCACCCGGCCCGGACACCGGAAGGAUUGACAGAUUGAUAGCUCUUUCUUGAUUCGGUGGAUGGUGGUGCAUGGCCGUUUUUAGUUGGUGGAGCGAUCUGUCUGGUUAAUUCCGGUAACGAACAAGACUCUAGCCUAUUAAAUAGACACCACGAUUCUGGUACUCGUGGUGCAGCUUCUUAGAGGGAUAAGAUGCUUUUAGCAUCGUGAAAGAGAGCAAAAACAGGUCUGUGAUGCCCUUAGAUGUCCGGGGCCGCACGCGCGCUACACUGAAGGAGGCAGCGUGAGUAACCUUGUCCUAACGGAUUGGGUAACCCGCGGAACUUCCUUCAUGAUUGGGAUAGGGGUUUGCAAUUAUGCCCCUUGAACGAGGAAUUCCCAGUAAACACUAGUCAUCACCUAGUGUUGAUUAUGUCCCUGCCCUUUGUACACACCGCCCGUCGCUACUACCGAUUGAGUGGUUUAGUGAGGUCUUUCGAGUUGUCCUCUGGGGUGCCUUUCGGUCUCCUGGUACGAUAACGAAGAUGCCCAAACUUGAUUACUUAGAGGAAGUAAAAGUCGUAACAAGGUUUCCGUAGGUGACNNNNNNGGAA